AGAAAACAUUAGCAAAGGUUAACUAAUGGAAAGCUCCUUCGAGUUUUAUGAAAUAGUACGGUUAUAUUACAGACGGAAGCAAAUUUCCCUAAAGAGGAUGCUGUGAUAUUUUAUAACUUCAACCCCCUAGGUUAGUAGGCUUUCUGAUAAGGAAUGCCCACUCGAAAAGCAUUCUAACAUCUUGAAUCAGAAAUAACUGUUACAGGUUUCAGAUCAUCCAGAUUCCACUGAAUUCAGAUUAUAUAUUAGGUUGGUGUUGGACGUUAACCCAGGAACUCAGGUAAACAAAUACAUUUCCAAGUUUUCUCUUAUCCACCAUGAGUUUAAGUAUUGUAUCAGUUUUCGUUUUGCCCAGGGGAUCACGGAAGUUCAACAGUGGAUCUUAUUAAGUGGCUUAUUGAAGAGAAAAAAAAUUAAUCAUGGGAAUGACCUACUGUGGCGUACCUGGCAGACUCGGAAGGGGGAAGGGCCCCCCAAUACUUGUUAGCUUACUUUAGACAAUAUGUUUAUGGCCGUCUCUAGUUUGAAUAACAUCAUUUGCUGAAAUCUUGCGUUCUUAGGGGCCCUGACGUCACACGCCACUGGAAGGUCCUCUUCCAAAAGAGUAUCAUGAGCUUUUACGAAAAGCACUCACUUGUUUCCGUGGUAACCAGGACUGGUGACAGCGCUCCCUCCCCGACAGCUCAAGCCCCAGGAGCCAUGGGUGAAGGGAACUGGUGGCUGCUGCCAGGGAGGGCUCCCCUCCCUGCUGACUGAGCACUGACUUAGCGUGCUGAGAGAAAACGCUCUUGACUUCCACAGGAACUUCUGCUACAGUUCACACGGAUAUGCCCUCUGACCCUACAUUGCUGCAGAAGACGAGAGAACGAAUCAGCGCUUGCCUUAAACGAAACACCACCACUCUGGCAAUCUUUUGAAAGUGAAGUCCCUGUUUGCAGAGAAACAGACUCACACAGCUUGUCAAACCUUUUUAGGGGCUGAGGGCGACACCAAAGUCCUUUUGUCAUUGGUCUUAGGGAGACCUUCCUGUAUCUGACUGCGGGCUGGGGUCAGGCCUCUCCUCAGGCUGACCCCCCCGACCUUCUGGGCCCCUCCUCUGGCCCACAGCUCUGCCUCCCCUGAGUCACGUGUGCUGCUCUUCGAAGCAGCUAGGUAGCGGGAGGCAGCCUCAGCGUCCCCAGGAGGGCUAGGCACUGACCUGUGCCCCAGAAGCAAGACCCUUCGUUGACACCAAUGAAGUCAGCCAGCUCUGUAGUAUAAAAGGCAGACCUCCAUUUCAGCUGGCUUUCUGGGAAAUUUGUCUUUGCCCUUGGUUUGGCUUUUAGACAGUACCUUUUCCUCAGAAGGACAAGGCCCAAGGAAAUAAUGCCACCACGCCUUGCACACGUAAGAAGGAGUUAAAAACCAGCACUUAACAAGCCAGCACCCUCAGACUACUCAGGACUCCCAGACCCUGCAGGCAGGCGUCAAGGCGAAGGAGGUGGAGCUGGGAAUAAGAAAGCUGAAAAAUCAUUCUGGAGGAUUCAGUGCGUAUUGGCCCAUUCCAACUCCACUGGCCAGAAAGCAGUAAAGAACCUCAAAAUGUCUGUAGUUGCUCAAA